rnacentral:rRNA from 1 species
UACGGAGGGUGCAAGCGUUAUCCGGAUUCACUGGGUUUAAAGGGUGCGUAGGCGGGCAGGUAUGUCAGUGGUGAAAUCUCCAAGCUUAACUUGGAAACUGCCGUUGAUACUAUCUGUCUUGAAUACUGUGGAGGUGAGCGGAAUAUGUCAUGUAGCGGUGAAAUGCUUAGAUAUGACAUAGAACACCAAUUGCGAAGGCAGCUCACUACACAGCCAUUGACGCUGAGGCACGAAAGCGUGGGGAUCAAACAGG